CGGUCGGGAGCCCCCUUUUGGGCAGGGGGCAGGAAUAGACCGCGACCCUCUGUUUCGUCAGGGCACAUCUCCCGGCACCCAACGGGGCGUGUG
rfam:Celeribacter indicus strain P73, complete genome.